rnacentral:rRNA from 1 species
UACGAACCGUACAAACGUUAUUCGGAAUCACUGGGCUUAAAGGGUGCGUAGGCGGCCAUGUAAGUGAGGCGUGAAAUCCCUCGGCUCAACCGAGGAACUGCGCUUCAUACUGCAUGGCUUGAGGGAGACAGGGGUAAGCGGAACUGAUGGUGGAGCGGUGAAAUGCGUUGAUAUCAUCAGGAACACCGGUGGCGAAAGCGGCUUACUGGGUCUCUUCUGACGCUGAGGUACGAAAGCUAGGGGAGCGAACGGG